rnacentral:rRNA from 1 species
CAGCAGCCACGGUAAUACGAAGGGGGCUAGCGUUGCUCGGAAUGACUGGGCGUAAAGGGCGCGUAGGCGGAUUGGUCAGUCAGAUGUGAAAUUCCUGGGCUUAACCUGGGGGCUGCAUUUGAGACGGCAGGUCUAGAGUGUGAAAGAGGGUCGUGGAAUUCCCAGUGUAGAGGUGAAAUUCGUAGAUAUUGGGAAGAACACCGGUGGCGAAGGCGGCGACCUGGUUCAUAACUGACGCUGAGGCGCGAAAGCGUGGGGAGCAAACAGGAUUAGAUACCCGUGUAGUCCCUGUCUCUUAUAU